CUGCAACUGGUCAGUCCCAAAUAGGACGAAACGCGCGUCCUGGAU
rfam:Schistosoma mansoni strain Puerto Rico chromosome 3, complete genome